AGUGAACGCUGGCGGUAGGCCUAACACAUGCAAGUCGAACGGCAGCACAGUAAGAGCUUGCUCUUACGGGUGGCGAGUGGAGGGCGGGAGAGGAAUAAAUAGGAAUCUACUUUUUCGAGAGGGAGAACGUAGGGAGAUUUACGCUACAACCGCAUACGGACUACGGGUGAAAGAAGGGGAUCUUCGGAGCUUGCGCGUUUGCCUGUGGCGAUGUCGGAUUAGGUAGUUGGAGGGGUAAAGGCACACCAAGGCGACGAUCCGUAGCUGGUCUGAGAGGAUGAUCAGCCACACUGGAACUGAGACACGGUCCAGACUCCUACGGGAGGCAGCAGUGGGGAAUAUUGGACAAUGGGCGCAAGCCUGAUCCAGCCAUACCGCGUGGGUGAAGAAGGCCUUCGGGUUGUAAAGCCCUUUUGUUGGGAAAGAAAAGCAGCAGGUUAAUACCCCGCUGUUCUGACGGUACCCAAAGAAUAAGCACCGGCUAACUUCGUG
rnacentral:rRNA from 1 species